CACAUUCUGUACCCUCUUUAUCACUGAAGUCAGCAAUGGGCUUAAAAAUAGCUUUGGCUUCCACACCCAGGGUACCACUGAUUCACUAAUGGAUGGACAGACACUGUUCUGGACUCCUUACUUAUAGGGAGUUUUAGACCGAGACCCCUAGAGCAGACGCACAGAGUGCUGGGUGCGGCCUAGCGGAGGGGCUAUGCCAUACUGACUUAGGAACAGAGGUCUGCAGAUCUCAAAAGAAGGAAUGCUCAGGAAUUACAAAACCAAGAUUGAAGGUGCUGUCAUGCUGGUGACUCAAACAUGAUCAUCCUAAAAUGUCAUUAAGGGGAGUAUCUAUAAACUUGGGAACUGUAACGUGCUGAACAUACCAAAGAGGAGUGAUGUUACAAUGAUUUACAAGCCAUCGACCUCCCCCAGGACCUGGACUGGUUUGCAGAUACAAUAUAAAAAUAAGAUAACUUCAGAUCUGACAGGAGCAGCCCUAUCUGAAGGGAACACGAGGAAGAACAGGGCGCCUGAACACAGCUGAGGGCUCCCUCAGGGAGUGGCACGUGUGUCUGGAAAGACGAGCUGCAGGCGGGUCUGGUUUCAGUUUCACCCUGCAGGCCGAGGGAAGUCAGGAGCGGUGUCUGCAGGGGAGGAGAGGAACAGUCGGGCGGCGGAGUGGAACAUGGCCUUGCAGGGCCCCGGGCCGAGAGGCUCCCAGCCCGCCCUGGUGGAGAAGCACCUGUGAGGGGAGCACGGACGAGAAUCAUCAAGAGUCCGCCUCUCGCCAGGCCUGGAGGUAAGCGAGGCGCCGAUGGCCAAGGUCAUGGUGGGCAGCGCUCGGAAUGUGUGAGGGGCAGCGCCGGGCCUACAGACCUGGCCUCCGCGCACAAGGACUUGGGGGCAGGAAGCUCCUCCAUGCCCCCUUGGUCCUGGGCCCCACCAAGUGACUCAGAGCUGUGGGAUCACAACUCAGCCAUAAAACAGAAAACAAACGAGGAACAAGACAAGCCUCCUUUUAGAUGCAGGCUGAAAUUUGGGGAAAAGUUAUCAGAACAAAGAAAAACAGUGCCUGCUGGCCGGCCGGUUUCCUUUUACUCACAGGAAACCUUUCCUGCAGACCUAAGAGACAGCCCCCCCUGCUCGGAGACUGACUGUCGGUGCAGAAGGAGAGGGAAACGGCACCGUGAGUUAACCAGUGACAGACACCGAAGGAAUUGUGAGCCGGGGCGAUGCGAGCUGGCCCCGGCGCGUCAAGUCUGCAGCAAGAAGGGCCCUGGCGAAGCAUCGCCCACACCAAAGCUUGACGUCUUGAGCUCAGACGCUUCCCCGGGCACAAGCCACACAGAUUGGGGCCACAGACGGGACCAAAGACCUCAUUCCAAGAGGAAUGAGAACAUGACUGGGUCAGUUGACAGAACUGGGAUACAAACUGUUAGAUACAAGCUCUGGCAUCAGUGUCACGUUCUCUAACGGUGACUGCGCCGCACUGCAGAGAGGGCAUCCCGCUCUCAGGAAACACGCAGGACGCUCGGGGGAAAGCGGCACCACACGCCAGAACUCUGGCAUACCGGCAAGGCUCUCUGACCUCUGCUGCCCGGCACAGGGGCCACUAGCCUCAGGGAGAUGCUGAGCAAUGAAAACGUGGCCGGCGUGGUUGGGAACCGACUUUUACUUUUUAUUUCAUCCUAAUUUAAACAGCCACGUGUGGCCUGUGGCUCGUGUAUUCGAUGGUGCAGAAAUAAAGGGCCACGACAUCUUGAACGUACCUUCAAAUCAUUCCCUGCAAGUACAUGUAUAUGAAAAUAGACAUGCGUAUGUACACACACACACACACACACCCACGCACACGUGACGACAAAGAGAGCGAGCGAGUGUGCAUCCCUGCAAGCAGCAAUGGGGUAAAAUCAUAACUGGUGGGUCUGGCUAACGGUAUGGGGCUAGUCUUUCUAAGUUUUUGUUUUUGCACAUUUUCAGUAAGCUUACAAUUAUUUCCCAACAAAAUAUACAUUUUUAAUGUAUGAGGGUGAACAUUUAUUAAUCAAUGAAAUCUAACAGGAUCCAGCCAGAACUUACUUGGGGCAAGGAAGUUCAAGGCAUCCUGAAAUUCUGAGCAAACACAGUACAUCCCACAGAAAACUCAGUGUGUCCCCAAAGUGUCAUCCAAACCCAUCACCUGCGCCGCUUUCCAGCCGCAGGAUCAGUGCUGCUCCUCCCCUGCUGGGGGCCUUCCCACCUCCUUCCGCUCGACCCUUAGCCUGCACAGGUUCACAAAGGACCUGACCACAAACCUAUUAGCUCACCUAAUAACUUUGUCGACAUAAAAUUCACAUCCCAUAAAAGUCACCCUCUGAAGAUGCACAUCUCAGUGGUUUUAAGCGCCUUCGGUGUGUGACCGCCAUCACUACCCAACGCCAGCCGUUCCCACGCCUGACCCCCUGCCCAUCAGCAGCCGCUCCCUGCUCUCCCCCACUGCCAAGCCCCUGGCAAGCUCUCCCCUGCUCUCUGUCUCCACGGACUGGCCUAUUUGGGACAUCUCAUACAAAUGGUACUGCACGACAAGUGGCAUAUUGUGUCUGUUUUCUCUCACUUAACAUAAUUUUUUCAGGGUUCACAUGUGUCAUCGCAUGAGUCAGCACUGCCUGCCUUUUUAUUGCCAAAUAAUAUUCCGAGUGGACAGGGCUCGUUCGUUCACCCGCCCCUCAGCUGAAGGCCACCUGGGCUGCGGCCGUGCACAGCGCUGUGAGCCCGUGGACCAGAGUCUGCGGGGACGAUGUCUGCCGCUCGCCGGGGCAUAAGCUCCCAGUGGAGCUGCUGGGUCGUGUGGCCCCUCCAGGCUUGACCGCUGGAGGAGCCGCCACCCUGGCCUCUGACGCGGCAUCCCGACGUCCCCAGGAGCUGUGCCACACAGCGGUCCCCGUGAAAGCCCGCAGAUGGCCGCUCCACAGACACGGCCGCCCUCCUGCCAGCUGUGGGCUACUGCAGUCUGCAUCCGAAGCAGGAGGCAGGCUCUGCUGGACUCGCAGGACAUAAGCGAGGGAAGCCGGGCCUUGCUGGCCACCAGCCGCGGGCUCGGUCAUCCCAGCGUGGAGCAGGAGCCGGCACGUGGCGCGGCCGCCGAUGAAGAGGCUCUCUGUGCGGGGGCAGCUGCGGCGGGGGGCGAGCUGGUGCUCACUGGCUGUCCCCUCGCGUGGCAAAGCUGUUGGUGCUCCCGGUUGGAGCCUCAGGGGGAGUUAUUUACCUCCAGACAGUGCUCCUAGAACCGCCUGGCGACACCCCGGCAGGGUGGGGGCCUGGAGCCGGGGGCGAGGGCCAUGAGAAAUCCAGACGUCGAAAAGGCCGGCCCUUCGGGGCCUGCCACCUGUUAGCCCUGGGACCUCCCAGAGCGAGGGCAGGGACCAGUCCCCCGAGAUGGGAGCCCGGGAAGGCAGCCAGGCCCAGUCCCGAUGCAACUGGGAUACCCCACCGGGCACGUGGCCCCUCCAAGCUGGCGGUGAGCAGACGCCUGAGCUUCAUGUUGGGGCGCCGGACCGAACCGCUAGGCAGAAGUCUGAAUUCCAAAGCUACCUAAGCAAGUCUUGAGGCUGGGAAGAUGGGCUGGGGAGGCAGGGAUGAUUUCUAUGGAGAAGGGAAAGAGAGAUGUCCUGGAAUGGCCGGCUCCCCACUCUGCUCCCGUGAGAACUGGGGGAGCCCCCCCAGGAGCCAGAGGGAGCCCUGUGCUCUGCACUGUCCGUCCAUUUGCCGUGGUCCACCGUCCGUCACUGUUCCCGCCUCAGGACCAACUCUGUUGCCAAACCUUUUAAAAUAAAUUCUAUUCCAAAGGCCAAUGGCUACUGGUUUCAUAACGAGACCUCGGCCGCAGCUUUGUGUCGUGGGGGUGGAGAAAAGGAAGGCAGCCGGCCUGAGAUGCUGGAUAUGUCCUACCUUGGCCACAGCCUGUCCCCAGGGCCCCCGUCGAUCUAUACACAUUCUAGCCCAUCUCUCCAUCAUUUCUUCCUCGGUUCCAUGAACAGCAGUUCCCUAUAGCUCUGAAUGUUCCCAAGUAAUUACUCCUAACUCCUGCUCAUUCAUUCUUCCUGCCAUCAUUCAAUAAAUAUCAGUUGUGAUCUGUAUUCACUCUUGAUGUCUAAUAUGCUCAGCCUUACAAAAGUCCUAGGUAACGGGGCCCAGCAGCGCCUGCGCUGCUGAGAGCAGGCAAAGAAACACAGACUUGAUCUUCACGCUUACUGUCUCAACUAAUCCCCACAACUGCCCCUCAAGGUCACUACUGUUAUCCACACGUUACAGAAGAAGCAAGACACUCGGAGAGACAAACAGGCUCCACCGCCCUCAGUCACAUGCUAGUCAAAUGGCGAACCGGGUUCCUAUGCACUGCAGCGUUACUCUGAAGCCUGCCUUUUUGUCAUUAGUAGUAUUAAUGACAUUUCCAAUGCCACACACCCUCAUUCAAGCGUGACAAGAUUAUUAAUUGUAAAAAGAGCAAUGGAUCAAGAGUUAGAAAACUUGGUUUCAAGUCUGGCUCU